CUAGCCGAUACCCCUAAAGUAAAAGCCCACAGAUAUUUCCCUACUCAAUUUGGAUACACCCCCAAUUACAGACGCCUCUCUCACUCCAAAAAUCUUCUUCUCUCUUUCACUCUGAGAAAUCUGUUGAAUCUUCCUAUCCAUCGUAUUCCUCUCUUUCACUCUGUGAACUUUGCUAUAUCAUUGGCUUUAUGGGUUUUUACAAAUAAUUUUUGCUGAUUUGGUGGACACUUCUUUGGGUAUCGUGAAUGGGGGUGACGAAUUUUUGAGGCAUUUGAGAAAACUUCCCCAAAACAGGUGCUCUCCCCCAAAUCCCUAAAUCCAACAGCAGUGAUUUUAGCCAUAACUUUCCUUGGUGGUAUAGAUAUUGUUAGCUGAGAGAAAAUUUAUUUCUGGUAGCCGAGGAGAAAUCAUUGCUGGUAACUUAGGGAACACUCGUUGCUGGUGGAGUAGAUCAAGAAAUGAAAGAUGAAGGCGGUGAAGAUCUAGACCUUACUUAAGAUGAAUUUUGAAUUGCUAUAGAUGAAUGUUCUAGAAAUCUUUUGUUAUCGACAUUUUGAAAAUUUAUUAAACUUAUGCACUUGGGUAGAACAUUUGCUUUAUGGAUAUUAUUAGCUUGUUCGACAAUUUAUGUUAUUAAUAGUUUCAUUU